AAGUCGUAACAAGGUAACCGUAGGUGAACCUGCGGUUGGAUCAUUAUUGAAUUUGGGCAUGCGCCUAAUAGUGGCCCGAGGAAACUUGGGCUCGAACCUAUUGUGAACUUGUAUCAGUUGGAUAGAGCUCUGGCUCGAUUCUGACCUUGAACCUAGUUAUCUUAGUCUUAUCUCAAUUAUAAAUUGAAACAACUUUUGACAACGGAUCUCUUGGCUCUC
rnacentral:misc_RNA from 1 species